rnacentral:rRNA from 1 species
GUAUGGUGCAAGCGUUAUCCGGAUUUACUGGGUGUAAAGGGAGCGCAGGCGGUACGGCAAGUCUGAUGUGAAAUCCCGGGGCUCAACCCCGGUACUGCAUUGGAAACUGUCGGACUAGAGUGUCGGAGGGGUAAGUGGAAUUCCUAGUGUAGCGGUGAAAUGCAUAGAUAUUAGGAGGAACACCAGUGGCGAAGGCGGCCUGCUGGGCUUUAACUGACGCUGAGGCACGAAAGCGUGGGUAGCAAACAGGAUUAGAUACCCUGGUAGUCCACGCUGUAAACGAUGAUUACUAGGUGUGGGGGGUCUGACCCCUUCCGUGCCGGAGUUAACACAAUAAGUAAUCCACCUGGGGAGUACGGCCGCAAGGUUGAAACUCAAA